AACAACUAAAUAUGUGUUUCACUAUGCAGCCCUGGCUGGCCUAAUACUAAUUAAGAUGUUAAUUACUAAUAAUGAUUAAUAGCUAUUAAUUAUUUUGCUAUUAAUUAAAUGUUAAUUUUUUUUUGUUCUUUCAAUUGGCCAGGCUGUGACUUUUUACUAACUGACCAGAUUAUAAAAAUACCACGGGCGACAACGCUUUUGUUCAUCCAUCUGAUAAGCCUGCUAAUCCAGUCUUCCCUGUUGCCAGCAUUUUCACCUUCUACAAAGUGAGCAGUGCACAUAGAGGUGGGCAGAGAACAGGUAAACUUCCGUACCACGAAGACGCCGUAUUAAUUUAGCCUGCGACUAACUAUCCAGUGCACAAGUUGGCCAGGGUUGGCGGAAGAGAACAGGAUCCAGAGCAGCGCAGGGUUGAGGGUGGCGUGCUCUAGGAUAGCACAGGAGGCACCGGAUACCUGCACGGCCAAAAGCGAAGACGACACGAGUUAGGGUACAGACAAGAACCCCGAAGACAGACGGGGCGCAAAGGUGGGUGAGGACAGUGCUUCCUGAAAUGAAGAUGAAUUUUGCACAAGUCGCACCAGGCCGUGGGAAGGAAUGAUAUACAAGCGGACGGGCCAGACGGUAGAGGAACAGGGUCAUCCGGGAAGGAAAUAAAGCCUAUGAUUCUCUGCAUUUACGGGGCAGGGGACACAGAUGUCUGGAACUCAGAAAAAGUGUAAACUGGGAAUUGGAAUAUCAGUGUGGAGGAUCUGUCAUGGGGAUGGGUGACAAGGGAAGACAGGAAAAUGCACAUGGCGUUCCAGAACAGCGGGUAACGUACAGACAGAAGGAUAGACCAGAAGUCUACAGAAGACCAAUAUUUAAGGAAGACAGAGGAGAGGAGGAGAAUAAAGAAUAUACUCGGAUAGUCAUAAAUGGCCUCUGUGGACAAUCUAGGAUGUGCAUAUAAUAGGAAGUGUGUGGUAUGUGUGUGUUUCCAAGUGUGGCUCAGUUUACCUAAUGCUCUCCAGCUGCAUUCGUUUUCCUAUAAAUACCAUGAUUCCACCUUCUUUAUGUUAAACUCGGUACCACUGUAUGGAUGUGCCAUGUUUUCUCUAUUCGUAGAAAUAUUAACAUACAAUAAUGUACACAUACACACUGAUAGUGUGAUAUAUACAUUGGUAGUAUAUGUCAUACAUAUGGGAGCCAGUGGCCAAUGGGGAGGAAACUCUGUGAGGAGGAACGGAGGCAGCCCGUGCACACUAAGAAUCAGAAUGGACUUAGGGGGUCAAAGUUCAUUGGUCACCUAUGGCAAUGCACAGAUGCUCAUUUAUCACACCAGGGCUAUAGGGUGAAAAGAACACUGCACGUCAGUUCUAUAACAGGACACAGGGAUCCACCAUUUGGGGGUCUCAAGACAAAACAAAAA